GAUGAACGCUGGCGGCGUGCCUAAUACAUGCAAGUCGAGCGAACGGACGAGAAGCUUGCUUCUCUGAUGUUAGCGGCGGACGGGUGAGUAACACGUGGAUAACCUACCUAUAAGACUGGGAUAACUUCGGGAAACCGUAGCUAAUACCGGAUAAUAUUUUGAACCGCAUGGUUCAAAAGUGAAAGACGGUCUUGCUGUCACUUAUAGAUGGAUCCGCGCUGCAUUAGCUAGUUGGUAAGGUAACGGCUUACCAAGGCAACGAUGCAUAGCCGACCUGAGAGGGUGAUCGGCCACACUGGAACUGAGACACGGUCCAGACUCCUACGGGAGGCAGCAGUAGGGAAUCUUCCGCAAAGGGCGAAAGCCUGACGGAGCAACGCCGCGAGAGUGAUGAAGGUCUUCGGAUCGUAAAACUCUGUUAUUAGGGAAGAACAUAUGUGUAAGUAACUGUGCACAUCUUGACGGUACCUAAUCAGAAAGCCACGGCUAACUACGUG
rnacentral:rRNA from 1 species